UCGUCUUAAUUAACAAAACAAAACCUUUAUAACUAAUUCUAAAACAAGAAAUUCUUAAAACUUUCAACAACGGAUCUCUUGGUUCUCGCAUCGAUGAAGAACGCAGCGAAAUGCGAUACGUAAUACGAAUCGCAGCUCUCGGAAUCAUCGAAUCUUUGAACGCACAUUGCACCAAGGGGUAUUCCCCUUGGUAUGCCUGUUUGAGCGAAGGAUUCUCCUAAUCCUUUUGGAUUGUAUUGUCAUCGAAAAUCAUUAAAAGAACUUUAUACAACUUAUUGUUCUAUUAAAACCAUUUUCCUCAAAUCAGGUAGGACUACCCGCUGAACUUAAGCAUAUCAAUAAGCGGAGGA
rnacentral:rRNA from 1 species